rnacentral:snRNA from 1 species
GUAUUGCUUUGGCAGUACAUAUACUAAAAUUGGAACGAUACCAGAGAAGAUUAACAUGGCCCCUGCGCAAGGAUGACACGCAAAAUUGUGAAGCGUUCCACAUUUUU